CCAGUGGCAAGGAGCCGACGAGGAGGCUGGAGCCUAAAGGCGGGACGACGACGUCUGGGUCAACGAGCUCCGUCACCGGUCCUCCGCUAGAUCGGUGAGGACGACUUCGCCAGUUCGCCUUCGACCCCCGAGUCCCGUCCCCAACCGUGCUGCUCCUUAUUCAGCGUCUGCGGCGGUCGUCCCCUCUCCAUCCAUCAGCGGCGGCGGCCCAGGUGUGAGCCCACUCCCUCCUCUCGAAUCCUCCUCCAGCGAUCCAAUACGAAUCAGGUGCAUACGGAGCACUGCGGGCCGGAUCACCACAUCACCGUCAGGCUGGCGGCCGAGUUCACUGUCAGGUGCCCACGCGGGAUCACCAACAGGCCGGCGGAGCAUGACGCGAUCCAACAGGCUAACUACACGCGCGCUGGCGUGAUUAGUUUCUUCUCACCGUCGGCGAAUACUCCCUUCAGACCAUGUUCUUUGCGACGCCCUGGCCAUCAUUCUCCCGGACUGGAUGCGCAUGGACUGCGUCGUCAAGUCCUGGAUUUACGGCACGGUCUCCCCCUGUAACACCCAAAAUUUUGAAUAAUUCAAAUUAAUUAAAAUAUGCUCAAAUUAGGGUGUUAUUUAAUUUCUAGGCAUUUGAUUUCAUUUUCCUUAAUUCAAUUAAUUCAUCAUAGGAAUUAUUUGUGCAUUCAUGCUGGUGCAUUAAUUUUGAUUGCUUGAGUUUGAUUUAAAUUUUGAAAUUUCAAAUUUAAAUUCAAAUUCCAAACCAUUUUCUCUUUCUCUUUCUUUUUCUUCUUCUUCUUCUUUCCCUGGGCCGAAACUUCCCUCUCCUCCCUUCUUUUCUUUCCUUUCGGCCCGGCCGCAUCUCCUCACCGGCCCGCGACGCAGCUCGCCGGCCUCCUCCUUUUUCUCCCCUGCCGGCCUGCUCCACCAGCCGCUCGGCCCGUCGCUCCUUCCACGGUCCAGGACCCCACUCCACCUUCUCUCGCUCGGCCGCGUCGCCGCUUCCUCUGCCGCGGCCCACGCGCGCGUGCCGGCCCGCGUAGCCGCCCCGGCCUGCCGCUCACCCGACGCCGCGCAGCCCGCGAACGCGCGCCGGCCCACGAAGUCGCGCCGGCCCGCCACCCGCCUUCUCCUUCCUCCGGCCGGACUCCGCUCCGACUCCGCAACGGCCGCCGCCGGAUCCGCAGCCGUCCGCCUCCGCUCCGACUCCUUCGGGGGAGUUUAAACCCGCGCCGCUCUAUCCCCUAGCGCCUAUAAAAGCCGCCGCCCCCUCCCGGUCUCCUCCGCCCAAACGCCAGCGCCGCAGCUCACCCGAACCCUAGCCGCCACGAGCUCCAGCGCCGCCGCCUCUUCCCCGCCGUCGAUCGCCGCCGUCGGUGAGCUCCGGUCGACGAGAACCCCCAAAACGGGAUCGCCGCACCCUCCUCUCUCUUCUGGUGCAACCCGCGCUUCAAAUGGUGCCCCGGAGCGCCGUUUCGGCCAACUCCGGCGACCCGCCGCCGCUCGCCGUCGCACGCCGCCGCUCCCCGCCGCCGCCGCUCUGUUUCCCCGCCGCCGUCGCGAGUCGUGGACGACCGUGGCCGUCCGAUCUCGAUCCGACGGUCGGACGCGAGUCAAUCAAGAUCGCGUACCGGUCAACCGAGCCGCGCCGCGCCGCUUUUGCACUUGAGCCCCUGUCUUUUUCGCAAAUCAACCCGCGGUCCAGAUCGCGUUGAAAAUAAUUCCAGAUCUGCCCUCGCAUCUUUCGGUUUAGCCCUUGAACUUUCCAGAAAUCAACCCGCCGUCCGGGUUUGUUGUUUUUACGCGUCAGACCCUCGGUUUAUACGCAUAAUUAUGUAUAAGCCCUCGGUUUUCGCGAAUAGGCCCUGAAAGUUUUGUUUUUCUCACAGAAAAGUCCCUGGAUCUUGUUUUAAUCAUAUCUUUUGCAUCUUAACUCCGUUUUUCGCAUUCUUUAUAUCCACGUGUUCGUUUUAAAGCGUAGAUCAUCCUUUCAAGCUUGUUUUCUCUGUUUGACUAUGUUUGGUGUACUGUUUUCUUACUUUUUGCCCAUGUUUGCUUGUAUGUGCUCGUGUGACGCGUGUAGACGCCCCGCAGUUCGAGGGAGUUGCCGAUCAAGCCUUCGAGGAGU
rnacentral:lncRNA from 1 species